ensembl:lncRNA
GUGUAGUCUUGUGACUACCAGUCUAUUGCAUCAUAACCCUCUGCAGCACACUCGUACGCCCCAGCUGCUCAAAUGACCUUUGACCCCGCCUUCAGAUUACACACCGCAGAAGGUGUCUGUGCCUCCAUGCAAUGGAAAUGGGAGAGACUCUGAGAGGGAUGUGGGAGUGUCCCUGAAGUAAAUGAAUAGAAAUGUGGGCGUGUCCCUGAGGUAAACUUAUACAAAUGUAGGCGUGUCCCCAGGUACAUGUAUAGAAAUGUGGGCGUGUCCAUGAAGUAAAUGAACAUAAAUGUGGGUGUCUCACUGAGGUAAAUGUAUAGAAAUGUGGACGUGUCACUGAAAUAAAUGUAUAGAAAGAUUUUCUAGGUUUUCUGUAUAUCAUGGAAACUUGGAUUACUCCAGGAGUUCGGAGCCUGUUUUCUGAACUGGUACCAUCUGACUGUAAUUUUUUAUUUUUUUCUAACUCUCCUCGUUCUGUUGGUCGAGAGGGACGACUGGCUUCAGUUUUUAAACGGAAUUAUUAAUACUGUCGGAUGCUGGUGACGGAUGUUUGUUUGAGUUCUGAACUUCAGUUAUUUGUAUUGGAGUUGGAUAAUCCAGUGGUGAUUUCAGGCAUUUAUCGACCACCUGAACCACACAAAGACUUUUUAAGGGGAAUUAUGCCCAACUUUAAUCGGGGAUACAUAUAUGUGUGUUGUCGAAGAAUUUCUGACCCUUGUUGACUCUUUUUACUUGGUGCAGCUUGUGAAUGCUCCCCCUCAUAUUCAGGUGAUCGGACCUACUGUUCAAAAGAUCACGAACAGCUGCCUUGAAAUGGCGACGGUACCAGAUGACAUGAAGCAUGCUGUUGUCCAUCCACUUCCUGAAAAGCCAAAUUUACAUCCAACGGUUCUAACAAAUUUUAGUCUUUCUUCUAUGUCCAAAAUGUGGGCGUGUCAACGAAGUAAAUGUAUAAAAAUGUGGGCGUGUCAAUGAGGUAAAUGUAUAGAAAUGUGGGCGUGUCACUGAGGUAAAUGUAUAAAAAUGUGGGCGUGUCGCUGAGGUAAAUGUAUAGAAAUGUGGGCGUGUCACUGAGGUAAAUGUAUAAAAAUGCGUGUGUGUCACUGAGGUAAAUGUAUAAAAAUGUGGGCGUGUCACUGAGGUAAAUGUAUAGAAAUGUGGGCGUGUCACUGAGGUAAAUGUAUAAAAAUGCGUGUGUGUCACUGAGGUAAAUGUAUAGAAAUGUGGGCGUGUCACUGAGGUAAAUGUAUAAAAAUGUGUGUGUCACUGAGGUAAAUAUAUAAAAAUGCGUGCGUGUCAAUGACGUAAAUGUAUAAAAAUGUGGGUGUGUCACUGAGGUAAAUGUAUAGAAACGUUGGCGUGUCACUGAGGUAAAUGUAUAGAAACGUUGGCGUGUCACUGAGGUAAAUGUAUAGAAAUGUGGGCGUGUCCCUGAAGUAAGCAAAUAGAAAUGUGAAGGUGUGACAGGAGUCAAGAUGGCGCCGAUGGGUGUGGCCUGCUCUCCGCUGCCUGUUGUGUUUGCCCAUUUGUUUUUCCCUUUUGAAUUAAAAUAAUAAAGCUACCUUUGUUGGACCAGGUGUUGGUCAAGGAUGCGUGAUGGGCGUGGCCGAGGGAAAGCCGCACCCAUCUGUCUCCUCAAUAUCGAGAUCAUUUUAAUGCAGUCUGAGAGACAUUAGCGGCGCAGCCAGGAAUGGAAAAGUAAAAAGCUUUUCAUUAGUCUGACACAAAGCCAUCGAUUUGCCAGAACAGAACGAACAGAGAAAACAAAGAGCAGAAGAAAGAAGGGGAAUAGAAGAAAGAAUGAGAGAAAAGUGGGGAAGAAAAGAAGAGAGGAGAAUAGAAAGAAACGAAGACAGUGGAGCGGAGGGACAGAACAGUGAGGAAUGAAGAGCCGAGAAAGAGAAGGAGAGAAGAAAAGGAAAGAAUGGAGCAUGAAGGAAGGAAGGAAGGGAGAGGAAGAAGACAAGAGGAGAGAGACAGAGAGAGAGAGAGUGAGAGAGACAGAGAGAGAGAGAGUGAGAGAGACGGAGUGAGAGAGACAGAGAGAGAGAGUGAGAGUGAGAGAGAGAGUGAGAGAGACAGAGAGAGAGUGAGAAUGAGAGAGAGUGAGAGAGACGGAGAGAGAGAGACAGAGAGAGAGAGAGUGAGAGAGACGGAGUGAGAGAGACAGAGAGAGAGAGUGAGAGUGAGAGAGAGAGAGAGUGAGAGAGACAGAGAGAGUGAGAGUGAGAGAGACGGAGGGAGAGAGACAGAGAGAGAGAGUGAGAGUGAGAGAGAGAGUGAGAGAGAGUGAGAGAGAUGGAGAGAGAGAGAGACAGAGAGAGAGAGAGAGAGAAUCCUCCCCUGAGCAGGACGAUUAUGAGCCGGCUUUCCAUCACACACCACACGACAAGCGGAGACAAGUUCUGUCCAGACUAAUGAUGCCAGGGUCACUGGGGGUGUGUGUGUGUGUGUGUGUAUCAGGCGGUAAGGAAGCAUGAACCGAUACUAUACAGUGUCCUAUACAGUCUAAAAUGAGUGUCACAUUAUUUAGGAAAUCCCGCUAAAUAGAUUAGCAGUGGGGGAGGUGCACACACACACACACACACACACACAUAUAUAUAAUACACACACUCACACCCCUGUCAUAUAUGAAUAUGAUAUAAUCUCAUUAAACGUAUAUAAAGGUAUUAUGAAGGA